rnacentral:rRNA from 1 species
AUUGAACGCUGGCGGCAUGCUUUACACAUGCAAGUCGAACGGCAGCGCGGGCUUCGGCCUGGCGGCGAGUGGCGAACGGGUGAGUAAUACAUCGGAACGUGCCCAGUAGUGGGGGAUAGCUCGGCGAAAGCCGGAUUAAUACCGCAUACGACCUGAGGGUGAAAGCGGGGGAUCUUCGGACCUCGCGCUAUUGGAGCGGCCGAUGGCAGAUUAGCUAGUUGGUGGGGUAAAGGCCUACCAAGGCGACGAUCUGUAGCUGGUCUGAGAGGACGACCAGCCACACUGGGACUGAGACACGGCCCAGACUCCUACGGGAGGCAGCAGUGGGGAAUUUUGGACAAUGGGCGAGAGCCUGAUCCAGCAAUGCCGCGUGUGUGAUGAAGGCCUUCGGGUUGUAAAGCACUUUUGGCGGGAACGAAAAGGACUGUGCCAAUACCACGGUUCGAUGACGGUACCCGCAGAAUAAGCACCGGCUAACUACGUG